AUUGAACGCUGGCGGCGUGCCUAACACAUGCAAGCCGAGCGGUAACAGGUGUAGCAAUACAUGCUGACGAGCGGCGAACGGGUGAGUUAAUGCUUUGGAAUCUUCCCAGUAGUGGGGAAUAACCAGUCGAAAGAUUGGCUAAUACCGCAUACGUCUAGUAAAGGGAAAGCGGGGGACUCGCCUCGUUCUUCAGAAGAGAGGCCUCGCGCUAUUGGAUGAGCCAAAGUCGGAUUAGCUAGUUGGUGGGGUAAUGGCCUACCAAGGCGACAAUCCGUAGCUGGUCU
rnacentral:rRNA from 1 species